GUGGCUUCCGGAGCUAACGCGUUAAAUAGACCGCCUGGGGAGUACGGCCGCAAGGUUAAAACUCAAAUGAAUUGACGGGGGCCCGCACAAGCGGUGGAGCAUGUGGUUUAAUUCGAUGCAACGCGAAGAACCUUACCUGGUCUUGACAUCCACAGAACUUGGCAGAGAUGCCUUGGUGCCUUCGGGAACUGUGAGACAGGUGCUGCAUGGCUGUCGUCAGCUCGUGUUGUGAAAUGUUGGGUUAAGUCCCGCAACGAGCGCAACCCUUAUCCUUUGUUGCCAGCGGUCCGGCCGGGAACUCAAAGGAGACUGCCAGUGAUAAACUGGAGGAAGGUGGGGAUGACGUCAAGUCAUCAUGGCCCUUACGACCAGGGCUACACACGUGCUACAAUGGCAUAUACAAAGAGAAGCGACCUCGCGAGAGCAAGCGGACCUCAUAAAGUAUGUCGUAGUCCGGAUUGGAGUCUGCAACUCGACUCCAUGAAGUCGGAAUCGCUAGUAAUCGUGGAUCAGAAUGCCACGGUGAAUACGUUCCCGGGCCUUGUACACACCGCCCGUCACACCAUGGGAGUGGGUUGCAAAAGAAGUAGGUAGCUUAACCUUCGGGAGGGCGCUUACCACUUUGUGAUUCAUGACUGGGGUGAAGUCGUAACAAGGUAACCGUAGGGGAACCUGCGGUUGGAUCACCUCCUUA
rnacentral:rRNA from 1 species